rnacentral:rRNA from 1 species
GACGAACGCUGGCGGCGUGCUUAACACAUGCAAGUCGAACGGAAAGGCCCUGCUUGCAGGGUACUCGAGUGGCGAACGGGUGAGUAACACGUGGGUGAUCUGCCCUGCACUUCGGGAUAAGCCUGGGAAACUGGGUCUAAUAUCGGAUAGGAGCCAUUUUUAGUGUGGUGGUUGGAAAGGUUUUUCGGUGUAGGAUGAGCUCGCGGCCUAUCAGCUUGUUGGUGGGGUAAUGGCCUACCAAGGCGGCGACGGGUAGCCGGCCUGAGAGGGUGGACGGCCACAUUGGGACUGAGAUACGGCCCAGACUCCUACGGGAGGCAGCAGUGGGGAAUAUUGCACAAUGGGCGCAAGCCUGAUGCAGCGACGCCGCGUGGGGGAUGACGGCCUUCGGGUUGUAAACUCCUUUCGCUAGGGACGAAGCUUUUGUGACGGUACCUAGAUAAGAAGCACCGGCUAACUACGUG